rnacentral:rRNA from 1 species
ACGCUCGACACCUACGGGGGCAGCAGUGGGGAAUAUUGCACAAUGGGGGAAACCCUGAUGCAGCGACGCCGCGUGAGUGAAGAAGUAUUUCGGUAUGUAAAGCUCUAUCAGCAGGGAAGAAGAUGACGGUACCUGAGUAAGAAGCCCCGGCUAACUACGUGCCAGCAGCCGACGGUAAUCUGAGGCGGGCGUGGACGAAGGC